UCUUGGUCAUUUAGAGGAAGUAAAAGUCGUAACAAGGUUUCCGUAGGUGAACCUGCGGAAGGAUCAUUAUUGAACAAUAGAGGUACAAGGGUUGUUGCUGACCCUUAAAGGGGUUGUGCACACCCAAGUGCUUUUAUAAAUCUAUCUCACCCCUUUUGUGCAUCACCGCGUGAGCCUCCUUGUUUGGGGACUUGCGUUUUCACAUAGAACUUCAAAUAGUGUAGAAUGGUUUUCUUUUACUUUUGCGGUUAUACGCAAUUAAUACAACUUUCAACAACGGAUCUCUUGGCUCUCGCAUCGAUGAAGAACGCAGCGAAAUGCGAUAUGUAAUGUGAAUUGCAGAAUUCAGUGAAUCAUCGAAUCUUUGAACGCAUCUUGCGCCUCUUGGUAUUCCGAGGGGCACACCCGUUUGAGUGUCGUGAAAUUAUCAAAACCCUUUUCCUUUGGGAGAAGGGUUUUGGACUUGGAGGUUCAAUGCUUGCUCUCAUUCUUGAAGGUGAGCUCCUCUUAAAUAAAUUAGUGGGGGGUCUGCUUUGCUGAACCUUNACGUGAUAAGAUGUUUCUACGUUUUUGAUUUGGCACUGUUCCUUUGAUGCCUGCUUCUAAUUAUUUCUUAAACAAUGAUGGUGCUUUGGUCACUGUUGUCUACAUUGACAGAUGGCUGAACCCACAAAACCGUGACCUCAAAUCGGGUGAGACUACCCGCUGAACUUAAGCAUAUCAAUAAGCGGAGGA
rnacentral:rRNA from 1 species